rnacentral:rRNA from 1 species
UACGAAGGGGGCGAGCGUUUGUUCGGAUUUACUGGGCGUAAAGGGCGCGUAGGCGGCGGGUCAAGUCGAGUGUGAAAGCCCCGGGCUCAACCUGGGAAUUGCGCUCGAGACUGGUCUGCUUGAGUUCGGGAGAGGAGCGUGGAAUUCCCAGUGUAGAGGUGAAAUUCGUAGAUAUUGGGAAGAACACCGGUGGCGAAGGCGGCGCUCUGGACCGAGACUGACGCUGAGGCGCGAAAGCGUGGGGAGCAAACAGG